CCCUUAGAUGUCCGGGGCCGCACGCGCGCUACACUGAAGGAAUCAGCGUGGCUUUCUCCCUGACCCGAAAGGGUUGGGAAACCCGUUGAAUCUCCUUCGUGAUAGGGAUUGGGGCUUGAAAUUGUUCCCCAUGAACGCGGAAUUCCCAGUAAGCGCGAGUCAUAAGCUCGCGUUGAUUACGUCCCUGCCCUUUGUACACACCGCCCGUCGCUACUACCGAUUGAACGGUUUAGUGAGGGCCUCGGAUUGGUCUCGGCCCGCUCUUUACCGGGCGGCGCCGUUGGUCGAGAAGACGCUCGAACUUGAUCGUUUAGAGGAAGUAAAAGUCGUAACA
rnacentral:rRNA from 1 species